rnacentral:rRNA from 1 species
UACAGAGGGUGCGAGCGUUAAUCGGGGUUACUGGGCGUAAAGGGCGCGUAGGCGGUUAGUUAAGAUUGAUGUGAAAUCCCCGGGCUCAACCCGGGAACUGCGUCCGAUACUGGCAGGCUUGAAUCCGGGAGAGGGAUGCGGAAUUCCAGGUGUAGCGGUGAAAUGCGUAGAUAUCUGGAGGAACACCGGUGGCGAAGGCGGCAUCCUGGACCGGCAUUGACGCUGAGGCGCGAAAGCCAGGGGAGCAAACGGG